AGUGAACGCUGGCGGCAGGCUUAACACAUGCAAGUCGAACGGCAGCACAGUACGAGCUUGCUCUUCCGGGUGGCGAGUGGCGGACGGGUGAGGAAUAUAUCGGAAUCUUCUUUUUCGUGGGGGUUAACGUAGGGAAACUUACGCCAAUACCGCAUACGACCCACCGGUGAAAGCAGUGGAUCUUCGGACCUUGUGCGAUUGAAUGGGCCGAUGUCGGAUUAGCUAGUUGGCGGGGUAAAGGCCCACCAAGGCGACGAUCCGUAGCUGGUGUGAGCGGAUGGUAGGCGGCACUAGAAGUGAAACACGGUCCAGGCGCCUGCGAGAGGCAGCAGAGGGGAAUGUUGGACAAUAGGCGGAAGCAUGGUCCAACCGUCCCACGUGGGAUGAAGAAGCCUUGGGGUUGUAAAGCCGUUUUGUGGGGAGAGAAAAGCAGCAGGUUGAGACCACGCUUUACUGACGGUACCCAAUGAAUAAGCACCGGCUAACUUCGUG
rnacentral:rRNA from 1 species